ensembl:lncRNA
GUGAGAGUAAAGUGAGAGUAAACCGAGAGAAAACUAUGAGUACACCUGGAUUGAAGUGUGAGUAAGCCCGGAGUAAAGGGUUAGUAAAGAUAGAGUAAAGUGUGAGUAAUACCCUGAGUAAGGUGUGACUAAACCCAAAGUAAAGUGUGAGUAAACCUGGAGUAAAGAGUGCGUAACCAUGAAGUAAAGAGUGAGUAAACCUGGAGUAAAGAGUGAACAAAGCUUGGAGAAAACAUGGAGUAAAAUAUGUGUAAACCGUGAGAAAAGUAUGAGUACACCUGGAUUGAAGUGUGUGUAAGCCCGGAGUAAAGGGUUAGUAAAGCUUGAAUAAAGCGUGAGUAAUACCCUGAGUAAGGUGUGUGUACACCAGAAGUAAAGUGUGAUUAAACUCAGAGUAAAGUGUACAUAACCUUGAAGUAAAGAGUGAGUAAACCUAGAGUAAAGAGGGAACAAAGCUUGGAGAAAACUGUGAGGAAACAUGGAAUAAAGUAUGUGUAAACAGUGGUGUAGAAUGUGAGUAAAACCUGAUGUAAAAUGUGAGUAAAGCUAGAGAAAAGUGUGAGUAAAACCAAAGUAAAGGGUGUGUAAGCCCGGAGUAAAUAAUGAGGAAACCUGGUGUAAAUUGUGAGUAAACCCAAAGUAAACGUGAGGGUAAAACCUGGAGCAUAUUGUUAGGAACCCCGGAGUAAAUUGUGAGUUAAUCCCUGAGUAAAGUGAGAGUAAACCCACAGAAAAGUAUGAAUGAACCUGGAUUGGAAUGUGUGUAAACUCGGAGUAAAGGGAGUGUAAAGCUAGAGUAAAGUGUGAGUAAUGCCCAGAGUAAUGUGUGACUAAACCCAAAGAAAAUUGUGAGAUAACCCAGAGUAAAGUGUGCGUAACCAUGAAGUAAAUAGUGAGUAAACCUGGAGUAAAGAGUGAACAAAGCUUGGAGAAAGCUGUGAGGAAACAUGGAGUAAAAUAUGUGUAAACCCUGGUGUAGAAUGUGAGCAAAACCUGAUGUAAACUGUGAGUAAAGCUAGAGGAAAGUGUGAGUAAACCCAAAGUAAAGGGUGUGUAAGCCCGGAGUAAAUAAUGAGGAAACCUGGUGUAUAUUGUGAGUAAACCCAAAGUAACCUUGAUGGUAAAACCUAAAGCAUAUUGUUAGGAACCCCGGAGUAAAUUGUGAGUAAAGCCCUGAGUAAAGUGACAGUAAACCCAGAGAAAAGUGUGAGUAGACCUUUGCUACUGCAAAGCCCG